UUUCCGUAGGUGAACCUGCGGAAGGAUCAUUAAUGUGUUUGGGCCUCACGGCUCUUCAUUCCGACGCUGUGCGCCUUCGGGCUGCACGCUGAGGGAGCAUAUAUCCACCCCUGUGCACACACACGGUGGCGAGCUGGGUAACGGCUCGCCGCUGACCUUUACACACGUCUAAAAGUCAUUGUAUGUUUAUUUGAGAUAAAAACACAACUUUCAGCAACGGAUCUCUUGGCUCUC
rnacentral:misc_RNA from 1 species